rnacentral:rRNA from 1 species
UACGUAGGGGGCGAGCGUUUUCCGAAGUUACUGGGCGUAAAGCGCGCGUAGGCGGUCCUUUAAGUCCGGGGUGAAAGGUUCAGCGCUCAACGUGAACAGUGCCCUGGAGACUGGGGGACUUGAGUGUGGGAGGGGGCAGUGGAAUUCCUGGUGUAGAGGUGAAAUUCGUAGAUAUUCGGAAGAACACCAGUGGCGAAGGCGACUUACUGGACACAUAUUGACGCUGAGGUGCGAAAGCGUGGGGAGCAAACAGG